CAAGAGCGUAUAUUAAAGUUGUUGCAGUUAAAAAGCUCGUAGUUGGAUUUCUGGUCAAAUGCGCCUGGCCCGCGGCCGUAAGGUCUGUGAGUGCCGGUGCGCGUUUACCAUCCUUCUAGAAAACGUUUCUACCCUUUACUGGGCCGGACUCGCGAUCUAGAUCUUUUACUUUGAAAAAAUUAGAGUGUUUAAAGCAGGCUUUUGCUAUGAAUACAUUAGCAUGGAAUAAUAAUCUAGGACUUCGGUUCUAUUUUGUUUGGUUUCGUUAGUACUGAAGUAAUGAUUGAUAGGGAGUAGUUGGGGGUUGGCUAGUAUUGGUCCGGCCAGAGGUGAAAUUACUUGGAUUCGGUCAAGACUAACUUAUGCGAAAGCAUUCACCAAGGAUGUCUUCUUUAAUCAAGAACGAAAGUUGGGGGAGUCGAGAUGAUCAGAUACC
rnacentral:rRNA from 1 species